AAAUCACCGUCUUCUGCGUCGCUCACACUGGGAGCUGUAGAGCGGAGCUGUUCCUAUUCGGCCAUCUUGGCUCCUCCCCCUGUCAUCAUACUUCUGACUUAGAAACAAUAUUCUAUAAGACCUUCAAGAUCUAGAG
rnacentral:antisense_RNA from 1 species